AUUGAACGCUGGCGGCAGGCCUAACACAUGCAAGUCGAACGGUAACAGGAAGCAGCUUGCUGCUUUGCUGACGAGUGGCGGACGGGUGAGUAAUGUCUGGGAAACUGCCCGAUGGAGGGGGAUAACUACUGGAAACGGUAGCUAAUACCGCAUAACGUCGCAAGACCAAAGAGGGGGACCUUAGGGCCUCUUGCCAUCGGAUGUGCCCAGAUGGGAUUAGCUAGUAGGUGGGGUAACGGCUCACCUAGGCGACGAUCCCUAGCUGGUCUGAGAGGAUGACCAGCCACACUGGAACUGAGACACGGUCCAGACUCCUUCGGGAGGCAGCAGUGGGGAAUAUUGCACAAUGGGCGCAAGCCUGAUGCAGCCAUGCCGCGUGUAUGAAGAAGGCCUUCGGGUUGUAAAGUACUUUCAGCGGGGAGGAAGGGAGUAAAGUUAAUACCUUUGCUCAUUGACGUUACCCGCAGAAGAAGCACCGGCUAACUCCGUG
rnacentral:rRNA from 1 species